UACGUAGGCAGCGAGCGUUGUUCGGAGUUACUGGGCGUAAAGGGUGUGUAGGCGGUUGUUUAAGUUUGGUGUGAAAUCUCCCGGCUCAACUGGGAGGGUGCGCCGAAUACUGAAUGACUAGAGUGCGGGAGAGGAAAGUGGAAUUCCUGGUGUAGCGGUGAAAUGCGUAGAUAUCAGGAGGAACACCGGUGGUGUAGACGGCUUUCUGGACCGUAACUGACGCUGAGACACGAAAGCGUGGGGAGCGAGCAGG
rnacentral:rRNA from 1 species